CCUGAGAAACCCAAAAGAUCGAAUGGGGAGAUUCAUCGUCAGCGAUCCUGGCACGUGUGCGGUUCGUGAUGCCACGAGACUUCGCGGUCUCGAGGUACACGUCCGUAUGGGUUUUUGCCUGGUGUCGUCGGCGUGCACUUCUCCCCUAGUAGGACGUCGCGACCCGUUGGGUGUCGGUCUACGGCCCGGGUGGGUGCCUGUCAUGUGUACGACGCUUCACGGCGUCAUGUGGCUGACAGACCCCCGGUUGUCUGACCAGCUGCCCGGCGGUACUCGCACGGUAUCGAGCCGCAAAAAUUUGAACUGCGUCCGGCCCGCCGCAAGCGAGGCCAGUGUUUCCCGGAUGUACGGACCCAGUGCCGUCACCGGGCCUGGCCAGCUGUUGGUUGGCGGUGUCCUGGGACUGGCUCUCUAUGAAUACCGGUCGGCGACGCUACUGCUUUGGGUACUUUCAGG
rnacentral:rRNA from 1 species